UAUUGCACGAGUAUUUCUAGGAUCUGUACAUUCUAUUCUAUUCCAUCGCAUAACCUUGUCUUCAUCUUUCGUUGUGCUGUUGUAUUUACUAAUAUCAGUUUUGAGAAAAGCCAUUGAGUUUAAUGAUUAUAUCUCUUUCAUCAAGGCCAUGCAACUAUCAUGCAAACGAGGUUUCCACACGUGCCAAGCAUGGAUAUCAAUUCAAUAUCCAACCAAGGGACAGCAAACAGGUAAAAUAUAAUAGCAUCGAUUUAUUUUAAGAUAUGCAUAUGUUGAUUCUAAUCUUAAUGUGUAGCUUCAAAAGCUAAGCAGUACCUUUGAUAAAAAAAUGGAUACAAUGUUCUUGUUUGAAAGGUGUUCUUGUUACUUGCUUAUAUAACACAUCUUUUCCAUUUUACUUGUGUACAGUGUAGUAAAUGCUUUACUGUU
rnacentral:lncRNA from 1 species